rnacentral:rRNA from 1 species
UACGAAGGGGGCUAGCGUUGCUCGGAAUCACUGGGCGUAAAGGGCGCGUAGGCGGCGUUUUAAGUCGGGGGUGAAAGCCUGUGGCUCAACCACAGAAUGGCCUCGAUACUGGGACGCUUGAGUAUGGUAGAGGUUGGUGGAACUGCGAGUGUAGAGGUGAAAUUCGUAGAUAUUGGGAAGAACACCGGUGGCGAAGGCGGCGACCUGGUCCAUUACUGACGCUGAGGCGCGACAGCGUGGGGAGCAAACAGG